GGUCCAGAAGAAGGAAAGGAUGAAUCCAAAAGAGUAGAAUACUCCCAGGGCUCAUCCCAUCUCCUAAAUGACCUGCUGAAGGAAAUGGAGAAUGCAGCGCGUGGGACUGACCAACAAACUGCACAGGACGCGCUGCAGGAAGGCAGCCAUCCCACGCUGCCAGUCUGGGACAGAGGAACGCAGAUAGCGCCAACGACUGGCAUGCCAGGGAUGAAUGCUGGGAAAAGCACAAAGGCUGCUGUUCACAAAUCUGUGCGAAAGCGCCGCAUCGCAGCGAUGGUACUGUUCUCAGCUGUGCUGCUGUCUGCACUGUUGUUGGCCUGUGGUGCUGCGUUAUGGAUGUGCAAAAAAUACCUGUGAGUUGGCUUUUCCCCAAAACACUUUAUUGCUGCAUUUGGCAAGGAGGCAUUUGUGGUGCCAGGACCCUGGACGGCCAAAUCAGUUGCUGGCAGUACACUGCCAGGACUUACGUUGCAAAGUCUUUCAAGUUUCCCCUUAUUUCCUGUCCGUGAGUAGUGCUUUCUGAAACUCAUUCUCACAGAGUGUGCAAGAGAGAAGAAAGAGCAGCAGAACGAGCUCUUCCUGAUACCAACUGAGAGAGUGUUCCAGCUGGAGAUGAGGGCAGAACGGAGCUGGGAGAGGCAACAAGAGAGACUCCUGCCCAACCAAACCAGAAUCUCAACAAUAGUUCCAGUCCAUUCCAUUCUACCAUCCAAGAUACCAAAGGUCUUCAAAGUCAUCUGGAAGACCUGGAGCGUGAACUCAAAGCCAAAAAAGAAGUCCACGGGAACAGUCCUGAGUGCUGCUUUCUGUCAGAGGACAGCCCUGAAGCUGAGAGCGGAGAAUCAGCAGCAGAGCCUUUGUCCUUCACCCUGCAUUCUCCAGGACAAGUAUCAGCAAUAAUUCCAAGAUUCUUAGCUCACCAUAGCUACAGUCCUUUUGAGGGUCGUAGUGAGAACCCAGAAAGUGAGCUUCCUCUGACUGCUGGACAGUAUUGUUUAUUGUCUUUGGAGAUGUGGAUGAGGAUGGCUGGUUUCUGGGAGAGCUGACAGAUGGCACAAGAGGACUGGUCCCUUCCAAUGUGGUUGUGGAAGUUUCCGAUGAUGAACUGGAUACAACGAUGCCUCUAGAGCUUUGUGAUCUCCUGCUGGACACUGAUGAUUAAGUGGAUGCAGAGAUUCCAUAACGCAGCAACAUCCUGUAAAAAUUCCUGCACUGAUUCCUCUGCAAGACUACCCCCUGCUCCACUAGAUGUUCAAGUGGAGUGUGAGCAGGAUGUGGAUGAGCUCCUUCAGGAGCUCUGUGGUGACUGACAGUGUAACUGCAUAGUCUUAUUAUAUAUUAAAAACAAAAAAAAAAGAACCAAAAAAAACCAAUAAAACAAACAAAAAACCCAACACUGUUCUUUUUCUUGGAUACAUUGACUUGAUACUUUUUCUAGCUGAGACUUUGCAGUGAGUCUUGAAGCAGAUUUGAACUGGUAGAAGUUGGCAGUGUCUGCAUUCCGUUCUCCUAAUUUCCUUGCUGGUCGGAGUUAACGUGCCCUGCAUCCGUUCCCCAGCUCCAGCUGUCUCCUGAAUCAUGAGAGCAGCCUUUCCAUAUUGUGAAAACAGCCCUUUCACAUAGUUGGAGUGGAUUCAUGCUGAAGGACAAGAUGCUUGUGGACAUGUAAGCUCAGGAAAAGAAUGUAGAGUCCAUGGAAACUUGCUGCCAAACAACACUAAGAAAGAAGAAUAGACUCCUGUUGUUGAAGAUGGAACAGUAAAACAGAUGCCCCAACAAAACACAAUGCCAGUACAAGCUGGUUGGGGCUACUCCCCCUGAAAAGGCUGGAAGUUCACAGCGAGGUAGACUACUAGCCCUCAUUCAAUGACUAGCAGAGACCCCCACCAUGUUUUUAGGACACGUGCUCAAGAGGGUGGGACAAUAUGUUAAUAAUUUCUCAGAAUUCCAGCCCAUCUUCAUGGAAUGUAAUGAAUAUAUGUAUGCAAUGUCUUUAAAUACGUAACCAUUGCUUUUCUCGGUGUGAGAGGUAGGAGGAGAUAUCCCCUUGCAUCUGGUGCCAUAAGGAGCAUACCUGGUUUAUGACCUUACGUGAGUUAUGAGUUUGAUUCCACACAUCACUCCCUUCACUAUUAAGAGGACAAAGAACUUCUGUCACAGAAGGAUGCCCAUCUGCAAGGCUUACGUUUCAUGCUUCUUCCUUCCUCUCUGCUUGGUAAAACUCCAUGCUGGGCUCAUUUGGAAGGAAGGCUUGGUGUUCUGAUUUCUUGGACAGUCGUUACCUAAAGCCUGGAGUGCCUCUGUCAAGUGUGGCGGUGCAACUCCCGCUCCCCACACUCUCCCCCUUCUCUCAGGCCUCUCAGUGCACUUCUUCUCCUCAGACAAAAGGCGGAGAACCAGUACAUGGAGGUACUCUUCCUCUUCCCUUGCCCCUGCUUGCCUCUGGGUAGCAAGGAGCAAUGAAUUGGAACAUUAGGGGAUGCCCUUGUUGUAUCUGACUCCUGCUUUGUGCCCCAUAGCCCAGGAACAAACCUGGAGACAAUGAUCUCCUGGCAGCCUGGGACAUGUGUACACGAAUCACGGCCCAAGUGGGGUAGCUUGGAAUUUGUGAGUCCAGCAAGUUCUGGGCUUUGCACAACUGGUGGAAAGAACCGGAAGACUUUGCCAUCCAAGGGGGCUGGUAUGGAAUAGGACCCAUCAGAUCUCAAUCGUCUCAGACCCUAUAACUAGAGAUUCUAAGCAAGUGUUAAUAUUUAUAAAUAUCUGAAGGGAAGUGGGAGGAAAAUGGAUGAGGCGCACAUCUUGGUGAUGUGCAGUGGUAGGACAAUGAGCAAUGGCCCAGAACUUGAACACAGGAAGUUCCACGCAAACAUGUGAAAGCCCUUCUUUAUGGUCAUGGUGGGGGAACACCGGGACAGGUUGCCCAGAGAGGUGGUGGAGGUUAUGACCAGCAUCUCCUCUGGGUUGGGAUGCCUCUUAGGUACUGCCAAAUCCUCGAGGCCAUCUACCAGUGGAGGCCAGGGCAAAGGCGCCCCCCUGGAGUCAGACUUGAUUAUGAUCUGAUGAGGAAUGGUGGUGGCCUGUUGUAUUUGCUCCACACUCAGGUAGACGCAAAUUGUAAGCAGAAGUCAACUUGCAUUUCUUCCAUCCACCUCCCUACUUAUUUAUCUGUUUUAAUGAUACACAUUUGUUUCACAACUGUGGAUGCUGAGAUAUUUUACUUUUCCACACUUCUUUUGUGUUUGAGUGUAUGUUUGUGUAUGAGUAUCUGUACAUUGAUUUGGGAUGUCCUGUUAUUACGAUAGCACGAAUCUUGUCAUCUGCAAAUCCGUAAUCAGGUCCCUGCUUAAUUGUCACACAUUUCAUUAAAUCACGUUAUUAACCUCCAA
rnacentral:lncRNA from 1 species